rnacentral:rRNA from 1 species
GACAGAGGCCUCAAGCGUUAGGCGGAAUCACUGGGCUUAAAGCGUGUGUAGGCGGAUCGUUAAGUACCUUGUGAAAUCCCACGGCUCACCCGUGGAACUGCUGGGUAUACUGGCGGUCUUGGGCCAACUAGGGGCAGCUGGAACAAGCGGUGGAGCGGUGAAAUGCGUAGAUAUCGCUUGGAACGCCGAAGGUGAAAACAGGCUGCUGGGGUUGUGCCGACGGCUGAGACACGAAAGCCAGGGGAGCAAACGGG